rnacentral:rRNA from 1 species
AUUGAACGCUGGCGGCAGGCCUAACACAUGCAAGUCGAACGAGUGGCGGACGGGUGAGUAAUGUCUGGGAAACUGCCUGAUGGAGGGGGAUAACUACUGGAAACGGUAGCUAAUACCGCAUACCAUCGGAUGUGCCCAGAUGGGAUUAGCUAGUAGGUGGGGUAACGGCUCACCUAGGCGACGAUCCCUAGCUGGUCUGAGAGGAUGACCAGACACACUGGAACGGAGACAGGGUCCAGACUCCUACGGGAGGCAGAAUGGGGGAAUAUUGGACAAUGGGCGAAAGCCUGAUCCAGCCAUGCCGCGGGUGUGAAGAGGGUCUUCGGAUUGUAAAGCACUUUAAGUUGGGAGGCGUUACGAGCAGAAUAAGCGCCGGCUAACUACGUGCCAGCGGCCGCGGUAAUAC